rnacentral:rRNA from 1 species
CGGCGGACGGGUGAGUAACACGUGGAUAACCUACCUAUAAGACUGGGAUAACUUCGGGAAACCGGAGCUAAUACCGGAUAAUAUAUUGAACCGCAUGGUUCAAUAGUGAAAGACGGUUUUGCUGUCACUUAUAGAUGGAUCCGCGCCGCAUUAGCUAGUUGGUAGGGUAACGGCUUACCAAGGCGACGAUGCGUAGCCGACCUGAGAGGGUGAUCGGCCACACUGGAACUGAGACACGGUCCAG